UACUUAUGUAAAGGUCAAUACAGAGGACA
rnacentral:piRNA from 1 species